rnacentral:sRNA from 1 species
AGUAAACGAUAUGAUGCGGGCAGGACCUCUCGGGGUUACAGCCUUGCUGAAUUAUUCACCCUUGUCUUUUGCGUACUUCUUGUUUCCUUGGUGGGUUCGCCCACCACUAGGACAAACAUAAACCUUUUGUAAUUGCAAUCAGCGUCAGUAACAAAUUAAUAAUUACAACUUUCAACAACGGAUCUCUUGGUUCUGGCAUCGAUGAAGAACGCAGCGAAAUGCGAUAAGUAGUGUGAAUUGCAGAAUUCAGUGAAUCAUCGAAUCUUUGAACGCACAUUGCGCCCUUUGGUAUUCCAAAGGGCAUGCCUGUUCGAGCGUCAUUUGUACCCUCAAGCUUUGCUUGGUGUUGGGCGUCUUGUCUCUAGCUUUGCUGGAGACUCGCCUUAAAGUAAUUGGCAGCCGGCCUACUGGUUUCGGAGCGCAGCACAAGUCGCACUCUCUAUCAGCAAAGGUCUAGCAUCCAUUAAGCCUUUUUUCAACUUUUGACCUCGGAUCAGGUAGGGAUACCCGCUGAACUUAAGCAUAUCAAAAGCCGGGAGGAAAAAAAAAU